CUCUGCCCCUCCCCCAUUCCCAUGUACUCUCUCUCAAAAUAAAUACAUAGACACUAAAAACUAACCUGUUCUCCUAAUAAAUGCAGUGGCAAUUAUGAAAGAAGGUGUUAAACGUGGAUAAUACAAGACCGAAACCCCCAGGAUGAGCGAGUCACCCCAUAGAGAGCUUUCCUGGAGGGUCAACCUGUUCCAAAAUGGACUUCACGUGAAACAGAAAUUGACGAAUUGUUCCUGCAGCAUGUUCCAGCCUAUCAGAUCCCACUGGCCAUUCUUCUCCUUCUCUAAAGAUGUCUCAAGGGUCAGCCCAGGACCUUUACUUCUCUACACUUUCACCCUGGAGGAUUUCAGCUAGCCCCAAGGUUUUAAA